rnacentral:ribozyme from 1 species
GAGAGAGGACGAGAGAGGAAAGUAACGCUUUGCUUUCUCACUUCUUCUUCUUCUUCUUCGCUUUUCUUUUCUUUUUUUUUUUUCCC